rnacentral:rRNA from 1 species
UACGGAGGGUGCAAGCGUUAUCCGGAUUUAUUGGGUUUAAAGGGUCCGUAGGCGGAUCGUUAAGUCAGUGGUGAAAGCCCACAGCUCAACUGUGGAACUGCCAUUGAUACUGGCGAUCUUGAGUGCGUGUGAAGUUAGCGGAAUGUGUGGUGUAGCGGUGAAAUGCUUAGAUAUCACACAGAACACCAAUUGCGAAGGCAGCUGGCUAACACGCAACUGACGCUGAGGGACGAAAGUGUGGGGAUCAAACAGG